CAUUUGUCUCUCUCUCACUUUCCCCAAAUCAUCGAAGUUCAAUGUGAAGACGAAACAACUACUUCAUCAGUGGAUAUUUGUGAAGACGAACAAGAAGUCCAACAGUGGACGUAAUCUUUUCGGAAGCCAGAAUCAGAUGACAACACCCCUUCAUCAGGUUCAAUGUUCUCUUGAAAAGGUUUACGGCAUUUUCUGAGUUGUUAUCUAUUCUGGCCUUGGGCACGAUUCCUUUAUUGAAGGUCGAAAAGAUCAGCCAAGCGAUUAGUACACGCAGCCUUACCAUAGAAAACUCAACUACAUUAUCAAGCCCUGUUGCCACCUUGUCUUUCAGUGCAACUGUUGCAUUUGAAGUUCAAAGUCCAUCAAGAAUACAGGUACCUUCUUCAGUGUGUUACUUGUAAUAUAUCAUAUGCAAAGAUAGAACAUGAUCAAUCUGCUUAGUACAGUCGAGUAAGAAUAACUAUCGCGGUGAUGCAGAACAACAAAGAGAUUAUCUUGAUAAACCUCCAUAAGUUUUUGGAGUAUUUUCCAAUGGUGGUCGAGAAAACACUCUUUGUACAUUGAGACUAAUCAGUACUUGCCUUUUCAGGUUAGAUUCAAAGAAGGGGACAACGACACUUAAGCCACCGGCAGAAAAUAUGGAAAUCUUAGGCCAAAACAUAAGUUUGAAUCCUGAGACUUGCUAGUAGGAUAUGUGAGAGAUAGUUCAUAAUGUACUGCUUGCGUUUCAACUUUAUGAUGUUUUGGAAAUGUACGUGACCUCUCCUUUUAUGUAGGAUAUGUGAGAGAUAUUUUCCUUUUCAGACUCUAGGAAAUAAAUGAAACAUAGAAAAUAUGUGAUUUCAGAAAAUUGUUAAGACCCACUCAGAAAAAUUUCCAAUGUGGAGCAGAUUUAGGAAAGGACUCGAACUUGUUCCCCGCAUUACCUAGUUGAGAUGAAAAGAUGCGUAACUCCAUCAGUCAAUGAGGUUUUGCCUUUGAGUUUUUCUAGUUAAAAUUCGACUUAAUUCUCUCUUAUAAUGUGUCUGAAAUAUGGGGACUCUAUUUUCUUCUCUUUUAGCACAUACUGCUUUCAAUGUUCUGCAAUAUUCAUAUGGCAUGUGAUUAGGUCUCUUUCAAUUGUGAUGAAGAGGAAGAAAAAUGUCUAUGCCAUUGUUUUUUUUUUUUGGACUCUUCUAUGUGGUAUUCAUUCCCGAUCAGCUCUUAUGAAGAGGUCAAGAGGAAAGUUUUGCUUUCUUUUCUCCAAAUAGAAUUCUGAACCAUAAAUUAAUUGGAAAGUAAAAUUUUGUUUAGUGAAAUAUUGUUAAAUAAUAAAAAAUUGGAGGACAUCCUGGCCAUUGACAAACCCAUAGUUUUCUUACAAUGUUAGAAGUCUGCCUUGGGUGAUUUCUAGGUUUCCUCUGAUUCCUAUCUAUUUGAAUGUUGAAUUGAUAUCAUUAACUUGAUAUCCAUUUUCCAUUUUGAGAACUUGGUAGUUUAUAAUGUAUUGUUGCUAAUAGUAAUUUGAGAAAAGUUCCUGUUGUCUUUAUUUUUCUUUGGCUUUUAACGUAGACAAGCAAUGUCUUCUUUAAGACAGCACUUUGGAUGUUGCUGGGUUGGUCUUCAACUUCUGAAACUUGUUCAAAGAGUCAUGUUUAUUUUCAAAUGAUUCAUGAUGAACAGAUGUUGGAAAUUACAUAUACUUCUAGUUUAAUGCUGCAGGAGAUCUUGGACAAAAUCGUGGACAUAGAUUCUGGUUCAUUUCAUUAUUAAGUUCUUGUACUCUCGUUAUUUUUCUUUGGGACUUUGGAUUGUUUUACUUCAGCCAAGCUCUAUCUUGAGGUGAAUCACAAUUUGAAGGUUAGCUUCUUCAUUCUUAUUAUUGUGUAAUUGGGAUGUGCUUAUUGUGUUAUGUUUUAGCUAUGCUUGGGGCCAAUGACCAUGUAAACCAACAUUUUCCAUUCUUGAACUUAGUAAAUAAUACUCGUAUAACAUAACAUUAUCCUAGUUGUUCUGCCUUAUUCGACAUUGUUAUUUACUCUAUGAUUCAAUCACUACGUUUUGAAUUGUGUGCUAUUAGUGUGGGGAUUUCUUAGUUACCAAAUAAAUAGAUGUACUGGUUUUGCUUUUAAGGGGGAAGAUUUUCCAUCAUUGUUAAUUGAUUAUGGUCGUUGAACUUAUUUUCUAUGUCUGUAAAGUUAGUCGCGUUGUGGAAAAAUUAACUCAGACAUCAUAAUUUUAUGUUAGAGUAAUUUUUCAUAAGAUAUUUUGUUAUGUACGUUCUUUGUCAGAGUUCAUUAAUUUAUUUAUUUUCUAUUACGUUCACUUUUCUCAUUUAUGAAAUCUUAUAGGUGAUAUUUAGCAUAUUCAUCAAAUUCUUCAAUGAAUAGAUCUUGCAUUGGAAUGCCAAGAAACACGCCAGAGUAUUUGCUUGGUUUGAAUCAGUUUCUAGAUUUUGAAUUUACCAAUGGAGCUAUAGGAGAUAAAAUAAAGUGCCCAUGUACUAUAUGUGGUUUCAAAAAGUGGCAAACAAAAGAAGUGGUGUUUCACCAUUUGAUGAAUAAGGAUUUCCCUAAACAUUACGUCACUUGGGUUGUGCAUGGGGAAAUAGAAGUCUUGCCUAAUUCCAGAAACAUAGAGGUCACUCAAGGUCACUCAAGAUGCACAACCUUUUGAAAAUCCUAUUGAAUUAUUGAUUAAUGAAGCAUUCGGGGGUUUAAGGCAUGAGACUGUUGAUGCAGGUCCGUUACAAGUAGCAGGAGAAGAAGAAACUUUACAUGAUUUGUUUGGUUCAAAUUACAAAGAUUAUUUUGAAUUGCUUAAAGAUGGAAGUGAAGAUUUGUAUGAAGGAUCCAAGUAUUCAAAGUUGGAAUUUUUGUUAAAGCUUUAUCACAUUAAGUGUUUGUCUGGAUUAAGGGAUAGGAAUGACUAUGCUGCUAGAUCUACUCAGGAAUGCAUUUAAAUUUGCAAAGAUCCCUAUAUCUUUUUAUGAGGCUAAGAAAACUAUCAAGAAGAAGAAGUUGUGCCUUGAUUAUAUCAAGAUAGAUGCUUGCUCAAAUGAUUGCAUGUUGUACUGGGAAGAUGAUGUUAAUGCAGAAUCAUGCAUGUAACUUCUAGAUGGAAGCCUGAGAAGGAUAGCAAUCUUGAUCAUGCUCCUAGUACAAGUAAGAAACAAAAAAAGAAGCAAAAGAAGCCUGCAAAAGUUUUGCGCUACUUUCCAUUAAAACCAAGAUUACAAAGACUGUUUAUGUGCUCUAAAAUUGCAGAGCAUAUGAGAUGGCAUGCAGAGGAUGAUAAUAAAGAUGGGAUCUUAAGGCGCCCUCGAGAUGGUGAAGCAUGGAAAAGGCUUGAUACAAAUUAUCCUGAAUUUGCUUCUGAUCCUCGAAAUGUUCGAUUAGGACUAGCUAGUGAUGGUUUCAAUCCUUUUGGAGCAAUGAGUACUAACUAUAGCAUUUGGCCAGUGGUUUUGUUUCCAUACAAUCUUUCUCCUUGGUUGUGUACGAAAUAAUCAAAUUUUAUCCUCUCAAUGAUCAUUCCAAGUCCACGUACAGUAGGGAAUAACAUAGAUGUAUAUCUACAACCACUUAUUAAGGAGUUGAAUGAGUUGUGGAGUGAAGGUGUGGAUACUUUUGAUUCAUCAAAGAAUAACACUUCUGUGGACAGUUAGCGAUUUUCCUAGACUUGAUAUCUUAUCUGGUUGGAACACGCAUACUGGUCUUGCAUGUCCUUGUAAUUUUGAUGCAGAGCCUUGUCGACUUCUCCAUAGUAGAAAGGGGUGUUUUAUUGUCCAUCGUUGAUUCUUGGCAAGAAAUCAUAAAUUUAGACUUAUGAGACAACGUUUUGAUGGAAAUGCGGAUGAGAGGGCCCCUCCAAAGAAGUUAUCCGGGUCAGAAAUUUUGCAGUUGGUGAAAGAUAUCAAAGUCACAUUUGGAAGACAAUCAGAGUUGCAGAAAAGAAAAAGGAAAAAGAAUGUUUGGGAAGAUGCAACUCAACAAUGGAAGAAGAAAAACAUAUUCUUUGAUCUUCCAUAUUGGGAGUUUAAUCCAUUGCCCCAUAAUUUAGAUCCGAUGCAUAUUGAAAAGAAUGUGUUUGACAAUUUUAUAUACACAUUGUUAAAUGAUAAAGAAAAGUCGAAGGAUCAUGCUAAGGCUCGAAGAGAUCUACAAGAUAUGGGCAUAAGGCGUGAUCUUUGGGUCGACGAGAAUGAUGAGUGUAAACUUGCUGCCUUUGCAAUUCCAAAGAACAAAAAAGUGGCCUUCCUUAAGACUUUAAAGAACAUCUCAGUGCCGGAUGGUUAUUCAAGUAAUAUAUCUCGUCGUAUUGAUUUGGAUCAAAAAAGAAUUUUUGGAUUAAAAAGUCAUGAUUGCCACAUUCUUAUGCAACAGUUGUUACCCAUAGCAAUUCGCAAUGUGUUUCCAAGACAGGUUGUUGCAACUUUGGUUGAGUUUUCUUCCUUUUUCAGGCAGCUUUGUGUGAAAAGUUUAAGUCUUGCAGACUUAAACAAGCUACAAAAUUGAAUUGAGGAAACUCUUUGCCACUUAGAGAUUUUGUUUCCUCCAUCAUUUUUUAUUGUAAUGAUUCAUCUAACUGUUCAUCUAGUUGAUGAGGUAAAAAAAGGUGGCCCGGUACAUUAUCGCUAGAUGUAUCCUGUUGAAAGGUAAGAUGUUCGUUAUUCAAAAUCAUUUUAGUUGAUUUUGUUGUAGUAUUUCAACGUUAAUGAUUCUUCUUACACAUUAAUAUUUUUGGGUAUAGAUUAUUGGUCCAUUUUAAGUCCUCUGUAGGGAACAAAUCACAAGCAGAAGGUUCCAUAGCUGAAGGUUACAUAGCAUAAAAAGCUCUUACUCUUUAUUCUCGUUAUUUUGAAGAAAUUGAGUCACGAUUAAAUCGACCUAAACGUGUAAAUGAUGAACCAAGCCAAAAUGAGGCUUCUGAAAAGUCAAGUAUGUUCUCUCAACAAGGUAAGCAUGUUGGAGGCUUCAUAACAGAAUCACUGACUCAUUUGGAGAAAACACAAGCUCAUCGAUAUGUGUUACUCAAUUGUGCGACCGUGAAGCCAUUUAUUGAGUAAGAAAUCUACAUUGAUUUGAUUUGUAAGAUAUGUUUUGAGCAAUUGGAUUAAAAUUGCAAAUUAUACUGCCUUUAUAGUGAAUUUAGAGAUUACAUCAGAAAAAGUACAAAAGGCCGAAGAUUUUCAACAACAGAGGUAGAGAGAAGAGUUAGUAAUGAGUUUCCUGAUUGGUUUCCUAAGCAAGUGAGUGAAUGAUAUUAGAAUUUUUUAAUAUAGCUUUCUUAUAUCAAUUUAUUAAUUUUGAUAAAAGUGUUUUAUAUAUUUAGAUUAUGAAUUCGGAUAUAGCAGAUACUAUUUCUGAUGAGAUGAAGUUCUUAGCACAAGGUCCAGCCCGAGAUGCAAGAAGAUUCAGUGCUUAUAACAUUAAUGGAUUCAAAUUUCGAACUUUGUCUAGAGAACAAGGAUUAAAAACUCAAAAUAAUGGAGUUUUUCUUGUCUCGUAACAUUUCUUGUGUCGCAUCUAGUGCAGAUAGACAUGCAACACAAGCAGACCUACCAUAUUAUGGAAAGUUGGAAGAUAUUAUUAAGCUUAAUUAUUAUGAUCAAUUUAGGGUUGUUCUUUUUAAAUGCUAGUGGGCCGACACUACUCGGAACAGAGGGUUCAAAAUAGAUGCUUGGAAGUUUAAUUGUGUCAACUUUUCCAAAUUGAUCAUACCGUUGAUCGUGUGGAUGAUGUCCCAUAUAUUAAAGCAUCACAAGCAAAUAUGGUCUACUAUGUUGAUGAUGAAAAUGAUAAAAAAUGGAGUGUGGCUGUACAUCUAAAACCAAGUGAUUUGUUUGACAUGGGAGAGGUUGAUGAAGAGGAAAUAUAUGAGAAUGUGCCAUACCAACAACAAGAAUUUGGACUGUUUUUUGAUGUUGAUUACGAGAAUGUCCAAAUUGCAAUAGAUGAGCAUAUGUCUGAAUAGAUAUAUCAUUAUUUUUUAGUUUCCUUUGGCACUUUGUUUUUCUCGCUUGAUUAGUGUUUUUUUUCAAGACUUUCUAUUUUUUGGCUAUGAAAGUUAUCUUUCUUCUUUAUAUAAUUCUUGAUCUUUCUCAUUUACAACUAGAGGAUAGUAUGGUCACUUGUGGGUAGUAGCGUGUGCAUUUUUCUGGUAUGUUAUGUGGUUUCUUAUCUCAGGGCAAAAAACUAAGGACAGGAACUGAUUGGUGGUCUUGAUUGGACUGUUUAAAGAAACUUCUUUGAGAGCCAGGGCAAAAAACCGGAGGACGGGAACUGAUUGGGGGUUUUGAUUGUACUGUUCAUAGAAACUUCUUUGGGAUCUAGGUGUCGUAGGAACCAACGUAAUGGCGGCACAAUUAGUUGCUCUAUAAAAUCUUUCCAUUGCAGAAAAAGUCCCUGACUGCCUGAACAAUGGCUCCCUUAAAUAAUUGGCCAUGCUUUCUUGAAGAAAUGGGCACUAUAUCCAUCAACACCAGAUAUGCCAAGGUUCAAGCGGUUGCCGAAAAAGCAAAAACUAGGUCCGUCAGAAUCUACAUCACAAGGUACUGAAUCAGCACCUAUUUUUCUGGAAAAAACAAAUUUGUCUCCACCAAUUCAGUAUGCACCACAACCAUCUCGACCAGUUUAUUCAGCAUCCCGUCCAGCUCUUAUAGAUCAGGACACUUCACGUCCGGGUCCGACAGUUUUCCUGAAUCACAACCAUCUCUGUCAGUUCACUUGACAUCACAUCCAUCUCCUGUUGGUCGGGACUCAUCACAACCAUCUCCUGUUGGUCGGGACUCAUCACAGCCAUCUCCUGUUGGUCGGGACUCAUCACAUCCAUAUCCGGUUGGUCGGAACUCAUCACAACCAUCUCGAUCAGUUCACUCUAUAUCACAUCUGGGUUUGGAAAAUCAGGACUCAUCACAGUCAUCUCGGUCAGUUCAUUCUACAUCACAUUUGACUCCAACAACUCAGGACUCAUCACAACCAGCUCCAACAGAUGAGGCUGCACCCUAAAAACGUUCUAGACGUGAAUCGAAUACGCAUUGGGUCGUAGACGCAAUAGAUUCAAGAAAUAAUGUCAAGAAAAUCAAAGUGAAAGCUAAGCAAGUACUGAAUUUAACGAGUGAAAAACGUAUCGUGGUUAAGUUUGAUGUUUAUGAUGAACCAUUUGGGGAAGCACGUAGCCUAGUUUUGCGCUUUUGUGGAAUAUUAGCGUGUGAUUGCUCUUUAUUUCCAAUCAACUUUGAGAAAUGGUCGAGUUUACCUAUGACAUACUUCAACCGCGUCUUCGAACAUAUUAUAAAGCCCAAAUUCUUCUUUGACACAGCCGAAUCAAUUGCUCGACAACAUGUUUCUUUAUCUAUUGGAAAAAAGUGGGCUGCAAAUAAGAUUAACAUGUGGAAUGAUGUUGAUGAUCCACUUAAAAGUAAAGCUCAGAUUUUGGAUAAGGUGCCUGAUGGAAUCCCACCGGAUUAAUGGAUUUCUUUUAUUGAAUACAAUUUUAAAGAAUCAACAAAGAAAAUGCGUCAAAAGAACCGUAAAAAUCGACAGAAACAGAUAAUUCCACACGCUGGUGGCUCCAAAGCCAAUACUACAAGAAGGGCUGAAAUGAUGGCCGAGACUGGACAAUGGCCUGGACGAGCACAAAUGUACAUUGCUACUCAUACGAAUCAAGAUGGAGUAUAUGUUAAUGAAGCGGCAAAAGAAAUAUGUGAAAAAAUUAAGUUAGCAUUGAGCCAAAGCGCCAUGGAUGAGUCUCAAGUUUCGUCAAAUGAUGCUGUUGGUAAGGUUCUAGGGCCAGAGCACUCUGAAAGGGUGAGAUGUUUGGGAUUAGGAGCUGUUCCUAGUAGAGUUUUUAAACAAGAUAGACCUCAUUUUGGUGGUACAAGUGCUUCAAGUAGUGGAGGUUCUUGUUCGUUCCAAUGUCGAUAAAACUUUGCUCAAAUGAUGAAUUCUCACAAUCAGAUAAUGAGUGCUUUGAAGACAUAUAUGAUAAUGAAAGAAGGAACGAUACCGGAACAAUUUGUGGGGCUCUUUGAUUCUCCUUCAAUGGUUUCUCCCACAGUCCCAAGUGAUGCGGCUAGUGGACCUAUUUCGCCUAUGGAUGCAAGGAGAUCACGUAAUGAUAAUGAUCCUAAUGACAAUAUUUGAUUUCGUUGCAUUUGUCUUGGAUAUUCAUUUAUGAUGAUGUAAUGGUAUGGUUGGAGUGAAUCUUAGAAUAUUGAAGGUUUUGUGUUUAAAUUUGAUUUGGUAGUUUGAAGAUACUAGUUAAUAUUGAAAAUUUGGAGUUUGAAGAUGUUAAUGUUGAAAAUUUUAUUUUGAAGUUUAA